AUUGCUUCUCAGUCUUUGGGCUAAGACCAAGUGCAGUGUCUGUUCUUAUCAGUUUAGUAUCUGAUAUGUCCUCUAUUUGAGGACAAUAUAUUAAAUGGGUUUUUGGAUCUAGGAGUUAGAGUAGGAGCUUGCUUCAUCUACUUCAUGCAUUGACCUAGUUUUGCAGUACCUCCAUAAAGGUAUAAAAAAG
ensembl:snRNA U2 U2 spliceosomal RNA